AUCGUGGUCAGAUCAUAUUGAAGCACUCUUUACCAAAGUUAAUCAACGUCUUGGUAUCAUACGAAGAGUUAAGCACCUCCUAACAGUUCUCGUCGUAUUCUAGUAAACAGCCUUGUCAUGCCGAUCUUUGACUACGCUGAUUUUGUGUGGGGUGAUAAAAACAACACCGUCCUGAUGAACAACCUUCAAGUUCUGCACAACAAAGCCGCUAAAAUCAUUCUUGACGCUCAUCCACUCUCGUCAGCCUCAGAAUCCCUACGAUCGUUAAAUUGGCAGCCGUUAACAACACCUAGACGCUUUCAUCGUUGUCUAAUCAUGCACAAGGCUUUAAACAAUGACGUCGAUUUUAAAUUUAAUUUCAAGUUCGCCUCUGACAUCCACAGCUGCAACACUCGAAACAAACAGAACAUACAUUUGGAACGCGUGAAGAAGAACUGGGGGAAGCAGGCAUUCAGCUACCAUGCUGCCAACGAUUGGAAUAGUCUGCCUGUGGAACUCCAGAAUAUACGUCAAAUUAAAACUUUUAAAACUAAACUAAAGAAACAUUUAGCUAUAUAGCCAUAGGCCACCCCACCGAACUGAUAGGAUGCGAACUUUAUACAAUUUAACCUUUCAUAUAUUCACUUUUG